CUCAUACGUAUUUACAUAUUUCUUUCUUUCUCUUACGUAUAUACAUAUAUAUUGUACAUUAAUUUAUAAAUAAAUACACGCAACGAUAUAUAAACGUAUUCAUUCCGUUUAUUUUAUCGUACAAUUCUGAGUUCGUAGUAGGCAAAAAUCACUAGCCAAGAUGAAACUAACAAACUUUCUUGUGAUCUUGAUGUUAGUAAUACUGGCAGUUUGUGCACAUGCUGUUCCAAAGAGGCGUAGAUUCCCUCAGUUCCCUGGCUACGGAACAUUCAAUCCCAAAGGCAAGCUGCCUUUGCCUUUUCCAAAAAUCUAACAUCUGAAAUACGAAGGAAGGAUUUCUUAUUAAAUUGAUUUGCGAUUUGAUAAUAACAUAUAGUCUUUA